GACGAACGCUGGCGGCGUGCUUAACACAUGCAAGUCGAACGGAAAGGCCCUGCUUUUGUGGGGUGCUCGAGUGGCGAACGGGUGAGUAACACGUGAGUAACCUGCCCUUGACUUUGGGAUAACUUCAGGAAACUGGGGCUAAUACCGGAUAGGGGCUCCUGCUGCAUGGUGGGGGUUGGAAAGUUUCGGCGGUUGGGGAUGGACUCGCGGCUUAUCAGCUUGUUGGUGGGGUAGUGGCUUACCAAGGCUUUGACGGGUAGCCGGCCUGAGAGGGUGACCGGCCACAUUGGGACUGAGAUACGGCCCAGACUCCUACGGGAGGCAGCAGUGGGGAAGAUUGCAAAAUGGGCGGAAGCCGGAUGCAGCAACGCCGCGUGCGGGAUGACGGCCUUCGGUUUGUAAACCGCUUUCGCCUGUGACGAAGCGUGAGUGACGGUAAUGUGUAAAGAAGCACCGGCUAACUACGUG
rnacentral:rRNA from 1 species